rnacentral:rRNA from 1 species
UACGUAGGGUCCGAGCGUUGUCCGGAAUUAUUGGGCGUAAAGGGCUCGUAGGCGGUUCGUCACGUCGGGAGUGAAAACUCGGGGCUUAACCCCGAGCCUGCUUCCGAUACGGGCAGACUAGAGGUAGGCAGGGGAGAGCGGAACUCCUGGUGUAGCGGUGGAAUGCGCAGAUAUCAGGAAGAACACCGGUGGCGAAGGCGGCUCACUGGCUCGUAACUGACGCUCAUGCACGACAGCGUGGGGAUCAAACAGG